GGCGGGCCACGGUAAGAGGAGCACAAGCCUUCCAGCGGAUGAAAACCAUCCUUAGCACUGGGGUGACGAGAGAGGUGGAGAGAGGAAUGUUUGAAAGAGCUGAGGAGAGCAUGAAAGGGCACCUCCAGGACAUGCAGAAGCAGAUCCCCAGGAAGCUGGAGGAGGACUUUUCCAGCGCUCUCGGCUUGGUCUUUUGCCCGUGGGACCAGCUGGACGGCAAGCUGCCAGACUUGCAGAGAGAAUUUUU